AAGAGAGAGCACGUCCAGAACACGCCAGAGACUGUCUCUUCCUGGUUUGCAAACUCAUACCACUAGUAAAGCUCCUUUCUGCUAUUUAGCUAUCCUGGUGGUCUUUUGGGCAACAUGCUUAUCUGGGAAGAGCUGUCUUGUAAUCUCUGUGUCUGCAUCAGACUCUGCCAGCCCUAGAUUGGGAGCUCUGAGAUGACAUAGGCUGCGUCCCACCCCAGCAGCAGCAUGCAAGGUUGGGGACACAUGUGAGGGUGUGUGGUGCAGCCCUGAACAGCCUCAGGCAGACUCCCUGUAUUCUUGUUCCCAACCUCCUCCCUCCCUAGGUCAAAAGGCUGUGGCAGGAGGCCAGGCAGAUCACAGCGUCCAUGCCUAGAUGCUCCCUGACCCCCAGGAACCAGAAGUGCUGUCUCCUGAAGGCUCUGGAAACCCGGAAUCAGCCUACGAGGCACCAGGGCCACCUUGGAGGGUGGAAAUGAGGACCUCAGGCCCCAGAGGGCAUGCAGGCGAGGUGAAGUUCAGGAGAGCCAGGAAGUGUCCCCCUCUUCCCGGCCUGCUGUAUCCCAGGACACAGGGCCCACGCUUUCCUCAACUGUCCCUUCCUUGUGGGAUGCAAGAGGCCACGGCGAGCGAAGGCAUGUGCCAAGAGCUGCCACUCAAUGUGAGUCAGCGUGCUGGUCCUCCCUCCUUUUCUCCAGGGGGCCUAGGACUUUUGGGGGGAGCCUGAGGACAUGCUUCGCUGAUGUCACUGUGUGGAGUGUACAAAUGGCCACCCUGCUGCUCGUUGGUUCUAUAUGGGCAUCCAGGCUGGAGAGCAGGGGGUGGGGAGAUGGAGAUGCCACCAGCAGGGGACUGGUUCCUAGAAGAGAGGGCGAGUUUGGGUGGUCCCAGAGGUGUUCUUCCCAGAAAAGAGAGCAGGAGGCAGGAGGUGGGCAUGGAGAAUGUGGAGGGGGGCAUUGACAGUGUUCUCCACCACCCAUCAGAUAAGACCUGGAGCCUCAUUACCAAAGACUUAAUGAGAUUCGCUUUGUUUUCUUAUGAGCCAGGCAAGGUGCCAGGGGAAGCGGCUUCCAGCCCCAGGCUCUGCAGCUGGCUGCUGUGUGACCCAGAGCCAGGCACCACACCUCUCUGGGCCUUAGACUCCUUAUCCAUGAGCUUCCUGCCUGCACCCUAACAUUCAGUGUCAUUGGCCGAGUUACCCAAUGGCUCCCAGCCUCAGUUUCUUCAUCUGCACAUUAGGGAUAAGUACAGCCAUCCACCUGGGAGGUGUCAAGGGGGUGUGGCCGCAGCACCCAGCCCAUGCACAAGUUCAGUGAUCAUUACCUGUCUCCCCCAGCCCUGCCUGAGUGCCAGGAUCAGCAGGCUUGGGAAGGGGGAGCCCCCAGGGAUGUGGAAAGUGGAGAGGGAGCACAUGGGCUCUGGGGCCUCGGGGCUCCUGGGCUCUGUUCUGCCUGUCUGGGAGCUGUCUCCUGCUCUCCCUUGCAGUGUCUCUGUCUCUCUUCGUUCUGUUCCUCCCUCUGUCCUUCAGUUUUUCCCUCUCCAUCUCAGUCUCUGGUUGUCUCAGUCUCUCUUUGCACCUCACUGUCUCUGCCUUUCUCUGCAUCUCUCUUCCUUUCCUGGGCUCUCUCUCUCUCUUUCAUCCCUGUUUUGGGCUUUCUCUGUCUGUGUCUCUCUGUUUUUCAGUCUGCUUCUUUCUGUCUCCGUUCAUUUCUCUGUAUGUCUUUGUCCCCUGCACUCCCAUUCUCCUCCCAUGCUGUCCUCUCUGGGGGCUCCUCUGGCUUCACUGGGCCACAGGCCCAGGCUGGGGUGUGAAGAAGCAGGAGCUCCCCCGUCAGAUGACGCUAGGUGCCCCAGUCAGGGCAGUGGGGGCCAGACAAAGAGCUCUGCGAGGGGUGGCAAAAUCCUCUUCCCAGGGAAGGGAAUGUGGGGGCUACUGGCCAGCUGUGGGAUGGGUGGCUGAGAACUCUCAUACCACUGUAAAUUCUAGAUGUUUUUCACUUAUAUCAGCUUCCUGAUCCCCCUGAGCCAAAGGCCUAGAAGGUCCCUGUCCCUGUCCUUUUGGAAUGUGCAGUCUUACUUACCAGAGUGACAAGGGGAACAGAGUUGAAACAGGUGGUUUCCCAGCACAGGAGCCUGUGGGGGCUGCUUAGAGAACAGCACAUUCCCUGGGAGCCAGAGCCAUCUGGGAGGGCUUUCUGGAGGAGGCAGAUCAUGAGGGAUCAGGAUGGGGACUAAUAUGUGCUGAGUGCCUGGUGGUGCUUUAUAAGUAUCAGCAGAUUGGGAGAUAAGCAUAGCCACCCUGUGGAGACACCUGGGAGGUGUCAAGGGGCAUGCAUUGUAAAGGCCCAGAGUGGUGAAGCAUCCACCAGCUGGUAAGUGGUAGCCUCGGGUGGGGCCUGUCGCUGUCCCCAUGCUCUGUCCACUACUGGUGUGGCUUGCCCCACUUGUGACCAUCGUUUCUUCCCCUCCACCCCCAGUGCCACUUCCUCUCUCCCUCGUUGUAGGGGAAAGAACAUGGGCUGUGUGGCCUUGGACCAAUUGCUUGCCCUCUCUGGGCCUUCUUAUUGGUGACAGACAGACUGGUGACUUUCUGAGAGGAUCUAUGCAACCUCAGGCUCCUGCACCUGGGUUACAGGGUCUUCUGGAGGGGAAGAGAUGAGCAGCAAGGACAAUAGCAGUGCUCCCUUCCCGGGUCAGUUGCAAGGAUUAAGGAUGAUGUCUGCAAAGUGCUUAGUCAGAGCCGGCAUACGGUAAGUGCUCAAUAAAUGCUGGCUCCCAUUAUUAGUAUCCCUUCCCUCCACGCCCUCAACACAUCCCUUUAUCAUGAUGGAAUAACCAAUUGCCUGGUAACAACAUGUUCACACUUCCACGCUCCCCAUCAACCAUGCUCACCUAUAAGGCAGGCUGCGACCAGCUCCUCUUCAUCUAUUCAUUGCCUGGCCCAUGCUAGGGGCCCAAGAAAUGUCUGCUGCAUCAACGAGUGAUUUUGGGAAAGGUGCUGAGCCCUUCUGUCCCAUGAAGUUCUUGCGAGACAGUGUCUCACCAGCAACCUGGAUCGUGAGAACCACAGCGGGUGGGCCAGAUCUAGAUGGAGAGUGUCCAUUGGGCAGAGCUGCUUCUGUGAAAGGAAAGGAAGUUUUUCAAGAAACCAUGAGGGGGGCCCAAGAAUCCAAGUUUCUAACUCUGGGAUCGGUUUUCUGUCUUUUACCUCGGUUUGCCUCUCCCUAGCUGUGUGGUUUAUGGCAAGUCACUCUGUGCCUCUGUCUCCACGUGUUCAAGGAGGCAGCCGGUCCAAGGGGCCUUCAUAGAAGGGGCUGCCGAGAUGUGAGCCCUGCAUUGGGGGGAUGCCCCACAGAGGUGCUGUCCCCCAUCCCCUUUCCAGGGAACUCACAGCGAAAUCUACCAACCAAAGAGGAUGUCCAUACCUGUCUUUUUCUUUCUUCCUUCAUUUUUUGACUUAAUUUCCUCACUUGAAAAAAAAAAAUAAAACACCUUAUUCAGGGUAUACUUUAUGGGCAGUCUUAAUUUUUUUUAUUAGGAUGUGGGAUGUAAAUCCAUAAAAGAAGUAGAAGUGCUGAGCCUUCCUGUGGAGUGGGUGCUGGAGGGGAAAAGGUGGAGUUAGGGGAGGGAAGGGGAGGGCAGGAAGGUUGGUGAUGGGCAGAGAUUCACAGAGACUCCCAGGUCAGGGAGCAAUCCCCCAGUCAGGGCAGCAGGAAUGCCCAGAGGAAUUCUGAUCGGGACAGACGUCGGGCACUGAAUGAAGAGAGGUCCCUCAGGGGCCUGGUCUCAGGGGCCUUGAAUUCCACGCAAAGCGUGUCUUGAGCAUCAACUAUAUGCCAGGCACCUUUUACAUAUAUUAUUUCUUACUUCUAAAUUAUUCCAGAUUUUAAGCCGGGUGCAGUGGCUCACGCCUGUAAUCUCAGCAUUUUGGGAGGCCAAGGCAGAUGGAUAACCUGAGGUCAGGAGUUCGAGACCAGCCUGGCUAACACGGUGAAACCCCGUCUCUACUAAAAAUACAAAAAUUGCCUGGGUGUGGUGGUGCAUGCCUGUAAUCCUAGCUACAUGGAAGGCUGAGGCAGGAGGAUUGCUUGAACCUGAGUGGCAGAGGUUGCAAUGAGCUGAGAUUGUGCCACCGAGCUCCAGCCUGGACUACAAAGUGAGACUCCAUCUCAAAAUAAUAAAUAAAUAAAUAAAUAAAUCUAUCAAUCCAGAUUUUACCAAUUAGGAGACUGAGCCUCAGAGAAGUUAAAUCACUUGUCCAGAGCCCUGAAAUUGGAGAAGCAGCUGCGCUCAGACUGGAACCCUAGAUGGUAGGGCCCCUUAGUCCUCCUUUAUCUUGGGGGGAUCCAGGGAAGGCUUUUCAGCAGGGGAAUGAUGCAAUUGGAUACACAUGUCAGGGGGAACAUGACUGCUUGUGGCAAGGAACGCAGUAAGCCUGGG
rnacentral:lncRNA from 1 species